rnacentral:rRNA from 1 species
CGGUGUUCAACUGGCGUGUCCGCGGGACGUCCUGCCGGUGGGCUUAGCCCGCAAGGGCGGCCCAACUUCAAAUCCCAUCGCGGUGCUCUUCACUGAGUGUCGAGGUGGGCCGGCACGUUUACUUUGAACAAAUUAGAGUGCUUAAAGCAGGCUAAAACUUCGCCUGAAUACUGUGUGCAUGGAAUAAUGGAAUAGGACCUCGGUUCUAUUUUGUUGGUUUUCGGAACCCCGAGGUAAUGAUUAAUAGGAACGGAUGGGGGCAUUCGUAUUGCGACGUUAGAGGUGAAAUUCUUGGAUCGUCGCAAGACGGACAGAAGCGAAAGCAUUUGCCAAAAACGCUUUCAUUGAUCAAGAACGAAAGUUAGAGGUUCGAAGGCGAUCAGAUACCGCCCUAGUUCUAACCAUAAACGAUGCCAGCUAGCGAUCCGUCGACGUUCCUCCGAUGACUCGACGGGCAGCUUCCGGGAAACCAAAGCUUUUGGGUUCCGGGGGAAGUAUGGUUGCAAAGCUGAAACUUAAAGGAAUUGACGGAAGGGCACCACCAGGAGUGGAGCCUGCGGCUUAAUUUGACUCAACACGGGAAACCUCACCAGGCCCGGACACCGGAAAGAUUGACAGAUUGAGAGCUCUUUCUUGAUUCGGUGGGUGGUGGUGCAUGGGCCGUUCUUAGUUGGUGGAGCGAUUUGUCUGGUUAAUUCCGAUAACGAACGAGACUCUAGCCUGCUAACUAGGCGUAUUUUCGACAUCUCAAAGGUCCGUCGUCCCGGCCCUCGGGUCGUGGGCGUGCGCGAUUUUUACUGUCGGCGUACUAUCAAUUCUUCUUAGAGGGACAGGUGGCUUCUAGCCGCACGAGAUUGAGCAAUAACAGGUCUGUGAUG